ACUCCUACGGGAGGCAGCAGUGGGGAAUAUUGCGCAAUGGAGGAAACUCUGACGCAGUGACGCCGCGUAUGGGAAGAAGGUUUUCGGAUUGUAAACCAUUGUCGUUAGGGAAGAAGAAGUGACAGUACCUAAGGAGGAAGCUCCGGCUAACUACGUGCCAGCAGCCGCGGUAAUA
rnacentral:rRNA from 1 species